rnacentral:rRNA from 1 species
CGGGCGAGAGACCGAUAGCAAACAAGUACCGCGAGGGAAAGAUGAAAAGGACUUUGAAAAGAGAGUCAAAGAGUGCUUGAAAUUGUCGGGAGGGAAGCGAAUGGGGGCCGGCGAUGCGCCCCGGUCGGAUGUGGAACGGCGGAAGCCGGUCCGCCGAUCGGCUCGGGGCGUGGAUCGGUGCGGAUUGGGACGGAGGCCAAAGCCCAGGAAGUCGUSAAGCCUGCGGAGACGCUUCGCCCCGAUCGUGGCUGGCAGCGCGCGCCUCCUCGGCGUGCUCCGGCAUCUGCGCGCUCCCGG